rnacentral:SRP_RNA from 2 species
GCCAGGUGUGGUGGUGCACACCUGUAGUCCCAGCUCCUUGGGAGGCUGAGGCAGGAGGAUUGCUUGAGCCCAGGAGUUCAAGGCUGCAGUGAACUAUGAUUGCACCACUGCAUUCCAGCCUGGGCAACAGAGCAAGAACCUAUCUCUA